rnacentral:rRNA from 1 species
UACGUAGGGUGCAAGCGUUAAUCGGAAUUACUGGGCGUAAAGCGUGCGCAGGCGGUUAUGUAAGACAGUUGUGAAAUCCCCGGGCUCAACCUGGGAAUUGCAUCUGUGACUGCAUAGCUAGAGUACGGUAGAGGGGGGAUGGAAUUCCGCGUGUAGCAGUGAAAUGCGUAGAUAUGCGGAGGAACACCGAUGGCGAAGGCAAUCCCCUGGACCUGUACUGACGCUCAUGCACGAAAGCGUGGGGAGCAAACAGG